UCACCUUCCUUCUCAUUUGAAACGGUGCUUUGCUUACUGUGCUAUUUUUCCAAAAGAUUAUCAAUUUGAUGAGAAUGAGCUGGUUCUACAAUGGAUGGCGGAAGGAUUUUUGCAGCAACAGAGGGAAAUGAAGCAUAUGGAAGACUUGGGACAUGAAUAUUUUCAAGAUUUAUUAUCUCGAUCCUUUUUUCAACAGUCUACAAGCAAUAAAUCACGGUUUGUAAUGCAUGACCUAAUUAAUGAUCUAGCUCAAUCUGUUAGUGGAGAAGUGUGCUUUAAUUUGGAUGACAAGUCCAAGAGCAUAAAUUCAUAUUCAAAGGUUCGCCAUUCUGCAUUCACUUGCUAUCGCUAUGAUAUCUCCCAAAGGUUUGAAGUUUUCAAAGAAAUGAAUAGUUUGCGAACGUUUUUACCAGUAACAAUAUAUUGGGGAAACUAUUUAGCUAGUAAUGUGUUGCAUGAGUUGGUGCCUACAUUGAAACGUUUAAGGGUGCUAUCACUGUCUAGUUAUCAAUUUACAGAGCUCUCAAGUUCAAUCGGUGACUUGAAACAUUUACGGUAUCUUGACUUGUCUUACACUUGUGUUGAAAGAUUACCUGAAUCGUUGAGUAAUCUUCGCAACUUACAGACGCUGAAGUUAUACGAGUGUGAGGAACUCAUUGAGUUGAAAGCAGGCAUUGGCAAUUUAAUCAACUUGAUGCACCUUGAUCUUAGUGGUACAAAUAAUUUGCAAGGGAUGCCACGGGAGAUAGCUAAUUUGACAAAUCUGCAAACAUUGUCUAAGUUUAUUGUGGGAGAAGGCAAUGGACUUGGGAUAAAAGAUUUGAUGAAAUUUCGUCAUCUAGAAGGGCGGCUUCAAAUUGAGGGGCUACACAAUGUGGUGAACAUUCGAGAUGUAGAGCUUGCAGAUCUAAGGAAGAAGGAGAGUCUUGAUGAAUUGGCAUUGGUAUGGAGUGAUAAUUUUCAAAAUUCCCGAAGUGAUGAGGAUGAAUUACUGUUACUCAGCUUUCUACAACCUCAUCAAAAGCUGAGAAAACUUUCGGUCAAAUUUUAUGGUGGUAAGAAAUUCCCAUCAUGGAUAGGAGAUCCCUCAUUCACAAACAUGGUGGAUAUAAAGCUCUACAGGUGCGAAAAUAUUACACUACUACCACUACUGGGAGGACUACCCAAACUUACAAAGCUGAGCAUAGAAGGCAUGGGUGGAGUGAAACAAGUGGGUGUUGAGUUUUAUGGGGACAACUCUUCUUCUGUGUUGCCUUUUCCAUCUCUGGAGACUCUUGAAAUUCAGAAUAUGUUGGAGUUGAAGCACUGGGCUUGUUCUGAUGAUCGCAAUGAAGAGGCUGCUGGAAAUUUUCCGAAACUUCAUGAACUGACAAUAAUUAAUUGUCCUAAGUUGAUUGGAAAACUGCCUAGCUGUUUUCCUUCCAUCAAGAAACUGAAUAUUGAAGAAUGCCAAGAGAUGAUUCUCAAAACUGUGCCUGAUCUGAUCUCCCUCACAACCCUAAGCAUUAAGAGAAUUUCAGGGUUAGAAAGUUUACAUGAAGUGGUUACACAGGCCUUGGUGGCACUCGAAGAUCUGGUGAUUGAUGAUUGCGGUGAACUGAUGUACUUAUGGCAUGGUUUGACUAAUUUGGACAAGCUCUCUUGUCUGAGCAAUUUGCGGAUCAGAGACUGUAGAAAGCUUGUGUCAUUGGUAACAAGAGAGGAAGGGCUUUUGCCUUGUAAUCUUGAAGUUUUGAGCGUAAAGGGUUGUGAUGAAUUAGAGAAUCUGACAAAUAGGCUGCAUAGCCUCGCAUCUCUGAGAAUUUUGAGCAUCACUGGUUGUCCAAAAUUUGUGCACUUACCCGCUACGGGUUUACCUUGCAGUCUUAAAAGUCUCGAAAUUCAAUUUUGUGAUUCUCUAGAGUCAAUGCCAGAGAGCAUUAUGCAAGUCAGUAAUACUAGCAAUGAGAGAACUCAUCUCGAGGAUUUGCGUGUCAUGGGAUGUUCAUCUCUUACAUCCCUUCCAGUUGAUGAAUUUCCUCAUUCGGUUGAGCGCAUUCAAUUUUGCUGUUGGACAACACAAUUAUUGGAGUCGCUUGAUGAUAGGUUCUCGCACCUCACUCUAUUAGUAAUAAUGAACUCUCCCAAGUUAGAGUCUUUCCCAGAAAGUGGAUUGGCCAUCCCCAAUCUUAGCCGUUUCGCCAUAGAAGAUUGUGCGAAUUUGAAGUCACUACCUAAUCAGAUGCAAAAUCUGAAAUCUCUUGUAUCUCUAACGAUAAGCAAUUGUGGAGGUUUGGUGUCGUUUCCAGAAGGCGGUUUACCGCCAAAACUAAUUUAUCUUUCCAUUUUGUAUUGCGAAAAUCUGACACAGCCUAUGUCAGAGUGGAGACUCCAAAGACUCGCCUCUCUGCAAGAUUUGGUAAUCAAAGGCACAAAUCCAAGUGCAGAAAUGGUUUCCUUUCCAGAUGAGGAGUGCCAACUCCUUCCCUCUUCCCUAACCUCUCUUACAGUCGGUGGAUUUGAGAAUCUGAAAUCCAUAUCAAGGGGUCUUCACAACCUCACCUCACUUGAUCAGUUACUGAUAUACGGUUGCCCUAAACUUCGAUCCUUGCCAAAAGAGGGCCUUCCUUCCACCCUUGCAGAAUUGCAUAUCAUAGAGUGCCCGCUUCUGAAGAAACGGUGCACAAAAAAAGAAAGGAAAAUAUUGGCCCGACAUUGCUAAUAUUCCCUAUCUUUACAUCUAAAUAAAAAUCCAGAUAGAAUCCUGCACUCGGGAAACAAUGAUGGUAGGAUGAAGGACAAGGCACUCCACAGAUGAGAGAAGAACCUGUAAUUCGUUACAAAGGUCCAAAGUCAUAGCUGUGGUUUUUGGUUGCAGCAAGGGAAAUUUGGUUUGGGCUCAGAGUUGAUGUCAUUGACGCUUGCUAGCAGCUGUUAAGAACCAAUCCGUCUUUAACCAUUAUCGAUUUGCUUAUCUUUAUCGGAUUCAAGUGUUCACUCAACAUCAUGAAUUGUGAAAUGGUUCCAUCACUUCCUUUAACAGAGGAACCUGCCUGACUCUUUCUGGUGGACUGGUCAUCAGAGCUGAAAAGAAUGUAAAAGGAUUUCAGGAUGGUCUGAGCUUGAAAAAUGCAGAAAAUGAGGCCAGCUUCCAGCUGCUGGGAGACCUGUCAUGAGAACUUAAAAAAGUUGGAUUUUUGCCAAUUAUUUUUCAAUUCUUGGGGCCAGUCACAAAUGAGGUUUGCCUCAUGAAUUGUUUAUAGAGCCUGCAUCUAGUGUUAUUUCUUCUUUCCCACUUAGUUUGAUGAUAGGUAAAGCAAAAGAAGCGGCAUCUACCCAGAUAUUAAGGCAAUUUUCUGCGUACAUUUUGAGCCUAGUUCCAUUAUUGUGAGACAUGAAAUACCUCUUUUACUGCCUGUCAAUUCCUCAAGGCAAACGGGGAAAUCCCAUCAAGGUUGUGAAGUUACCUGAACAAGUUACUCUAGCUGAAAACUUGGAGCCACAAAAUUCCUUUUCAGUGCGCUUAAUGAUCCAAAGCCAUAGUCAUCUUAAAUAUAAAAGCUGGCAAAGAACCUUAAAAGACAUCUGUGUUUGACAAUCCUUUUCCUGCUAGGUUGUGUCGUGACAUUUCAAGGCUUGUAUUCAUAUGAUGUUGCUCUAUUUGCCUUAGUUUGAAAGUUUGAAAGCUUAGGGUUUAGUGUUCAAAGUGUAUGCCCUUGGUGGGGCUUGCUUGGUGAAAGACCAUGCAACCUGAGGAGUAUAUCUUGUAUGUAAUUCCAAAUUUUAUUGCAACUGAAAUCACCCAUCAUGGAAUUAAAGUUCUGCAUUUGUGGUUGGAGGCCCUUGGUCUCUGCUACAUGAUUCAACAUUUCUUUCUUCUGUCAUCUUGAUGCUGAACCACGGUCAUCUGGUUUUUUUCCUUAGUUUAUGAGAAUGUAUUUAUGUCCACUUAUAUGUACAAUUUCAAAAUCAAUUAGCAAGGAGUUUUUG
rnacentral:misc_RNA from 1 species